rnacentral:rRNA from 1 species
AUGCUCAAUUGGGCAAGCAAGGCUGAGCUACAUGCCAGGGUUCCUCUGGGCAAGCUGCUGGAUCGGGGCGCCACUUUCUCCUCAGGCUCCAAGUUGUUCGUCGGAGGUCUGUCCUACAACUCGAAUUAAGUUGCUCUCAAGGACGCCUUCUCUCAGCAUGGCGAUGUUAUCCAAGUGAAAGUAAUAUGCCAUCCUGUCACGGGGAGAUCCAAAGGGUACGUCUUGGUCAAGUUCUCUUCAGAAACUGAAGCAGCCGCGGCGUUGGAGAAGAUGAGUGACGAGGUGCUUGAUGGAAAGAAAAUACGGGUGGAUUAUGCAAACAGCGGACAAUCUGCUGCUGUUUCUGUUGCUGCAGAUGAGUAA